AGAGGAGGAGGAAGAAGAAGAAGAGGGAGACGAGAAUAAGUUGAUGCUCGAUUUGAACAAAAAUUGAGUAAACUGAUCAUCCCAGGGGUAUUGUUCGUGCUUCAGUUUCGGGUUUGAGUGAUUGAUUGGAGGAGGUUGAAGGUGAUGAACUAAACUGAUAGUUGAAAAGUGAUUGUCUUAGCGCUGUAUUAGAUUCUCCCAUAUUUCCUGAGCUUUGCCACAAACAACAGUCAAAUUUUAGUACAUGGUUUCUUUUUAGUUUUCUAUUUUCAUUUUUUAUGUUAUUACCUAAUUAUGCAAUGUUUG